rnacentral:rRNA from 1 species
UCUACGAGUUUGAUCCUGGCUCAGAUUGAACGCUGGCGGCAUGGCUAAUGCAUGCAAGUCGAACGAAAGCCCUUCGGGGCGAAAGUGGCGAAAGGGCGAGUAAUACGAUCGAACGUACCCCAAGGUGGAGGAUAGUGUCGGGAAACUGACGGUAAUACUCCAUGUGCUCUUCGGAGGAAAGCUUUGGCGCCUCGGGAGCGGCGAUCGUCCUAUCAGGUAGUUGGUGAGGUAAUGGCUCACCAAGCCGAAGACGGGUAGCGGGUGUGAGAGCAUGACCCGCCGCAUCGGGACUGAGACACUGCCCGGACUCCUACGGGAGGCUGCAGCGACGAAUCUUCCGCAAUGGGCGCAAGCCUGACGGAGCAAUGCCGCGUGUGGGACGAAGCGUCUUCGACGUGUAAACCACUGUCAGAAUCUAGGAACACUGACCAGAUUCAAAGGAAGGGCCGGCUAACCUCGUG